AUUGAACGCUGGCGGCAGGCCUAACACAUGCAAGUCGAACGGUAACAGAAAGCAGCUUGCUGCUUUGCUGACGAGUGGCGGACGGGUGAGUAAUGUCUGGGAAACUGCCUGAUGGAGGGGGAUAACUACUGGAAACGGUAGCUAAUACCGCAUAACGUCGCAAGACCAAAGAGGGGGACCUUCGGGCCUCUUGCCAUCGGAUGUGCCCAGAUGGGAUUAGCUAGUAGGUGGGGUAACGGCUCACCUAGGCGACGAUCCCUAGCUGGUCUGAGAGGAUGACCAGCCACACUGGAACUGAGACACGGUCCAGACUCCUACGGGAGGCAGCAGUGGGGAAUAUUGCACAAUGGGCGCAAGCCUGAUGCAGCCAUGCCGCGUGUAUGAAGAAGGCCUUCGGGUUGUAAAGUACUUUCAGCGGGGAGGAAGGGAGUAAAGUUAAUACCUUUGCUCAUGGACGUUACCCGCAGAAGAAGCACCGGCUAACUCCGU
rnacentral:rRNA from 1 species